UACGUAGGGGGGCAAGCGGUUGUCCGGAUUUAUUGGGCGUAAAGAGCGUGUAGGCGGCCAUGUAGGUCCGUUGUGAAAACUCGAGGCUCAACCUCGAGACGCCGAUGGAAACCAUGUGGCUAGAGUCCGGAAGAGGAGAGUGGAAUUCCUGGUGUAGCGGUGAAAUGCGCAGAUAUCAGGAAGAACACCCGUGGCUAAGGCGGCUCUCGUGGGACGGUACUGACGCUGAGACGCGAAAGCGUGGGAGCGAACGG
rnacentral:rRNA from 1 species